rnacentral:misc_RNA from 1 species
GAUGAAGAACGCAGCGAAAUGCGAUAAGUAAUGUGAAUUGCAGAAUUCCGUGAAUCAUCGAAUCUUUGAACGCACAUUGCGCCCUCUGGUAUUCCGGGGGGCAUGCCUGUCCGAGCGUCAUUUGCAACCCUCAAGCCCGGCUUGUGUGAUGGGUGCCGUCCCCUACGGGACGCGCCCCGAAGGCAAUGGCGGCGUCGCGGUUAUCCGAUCAGCCAAAGUGUAUGGGGCUUUGUCACUCACUUUACGGCCCGGACCGGCGCCAGUCCGAAUCAAUCUUUUUUCUAAAGUUGACCUCGGAUCAGGUAGGGAUACCCGCUGAACUUAAGCAUAUCAAUAAGCGGGAGGA